rnacentral:lncRNA from 1 species
CUAUGGACCACAGAGUGUGUGCAGUGGGACAGGGGUGGAAGGAGGAAAGGUUCUCUGGAGUCUCCCGCAGGACUCUCCUUCUAGAAAGUUCUACAUAAGAGUAAACACUACUAUUGUGUUCCUGGUGAACGGACCCAGUCUCGUAAGAACCCUCCCACGGGUGGAGUGCUUUAUAGGCCAGAAAGCCUCUCCAACAGCCUCAGGAGCAGAACUCAGGUUUCAAGUUUUGCCUUUUCCUCCAGAACCAGAAUGACUUUUUGUCCACCUUGCCAUUGGAGGGAAGAGGCCAUGGCUCUCCAGGUGACCAGAGUGAGGACUCAGCUCUGAGGUGGAACAGCCCAUCAGCAGGUGCCUGUGGAAGCCACUGAUAGUGGAUGAAGACGAAAUUGGCUUUUCAUGUCAGUAGCUGCCAAUUCAAUGGGAAAGACAGGAGGCCACCAACCUAUUUCCUGUGGGCUCUAGAACCCUCCAUGGAUGACAUCAGCUUCCUGUCUCCACCAACCCAAGUGGUACUUCGCUCAGUAACCUCGGGGUGGAAGUUUUUCUAGAAAGUGGCCAGACUCCUGAGCCAUCCUUGAUAGCAUUUGUAAUUUUGGAUGAUGCUAUCCUUGAUAGCAUUUCUUCUUUAUUUGUGAAUGAACAAGGAUGAUCCAGCCAUCCUUGAUAGCAUUUCUUCUUUAUUUGUGAAUGAACAAACUCCUGAGUCCCUCCCCUCCUCACUCCGACUGCCCCCGAAGGCCCUUCCUUCUCAAAGGCAGUUUCUGGAAGAAGCACCACCAACUAUCAGGCUGGAAAUACUUUGUACCUGAAAAAUCAAGUUUACUAAUGUGCACUGUUUCAGUAUUUAAACGUGUGAUGCUAUAUUGUGCCAUACUUUAUUCUUUAAAUUUUAAAUUUUAAAUUAUUUAAUUUUAUUAGAUACAAGUAAGCAACAUGAAAAAAAUUUAAAUAACAACAACACUGAGAAACCACCAUUGUUAAUACCUUGGCAUGCAGGAUUCUGUACCCUACUAGGGUUGUUUGUAAAACUACUCAUUUUUCAUAUAUCUAAACAUUGGGUCAUAUCAUGCAGACUAUUUUAAAGCUCCUUUAAAACCCAUAUCACAGAUGCCUUUCAUGUAAAUAAAUAUCCAUCCAUGGCAUUAUUUUUAAUGUCUCUAAAAAAGUGUAGAAGAUGUUCCAUUAUUUGUUUAAUGAAUCCCCUAAUGUACAAUGAGGAUAUUUUCAAUUUUUCACUAUAAUAAACUCCCAUGAACGGUCUUCCAGCAAACUCAAUUAUUUCCUAGGCAGACAUUUCUAGAAGUAGAAUUGCUGGGUCAAAGGGCACAUACAUCUUCAGGUGUUCUCUUAUCAAAUUUACAUUCCUGCAGUAGUAUCUUAGAUAGUUAUGACACCUACCCAUCUCCUUAUAGCUCCAUCACCCAUGUCCAGGGGUGUCUUUGAAACACUAGAGAUACCAGAAGCUCUACAUGCAGAAAGUGUCCUGGAAAAAGACCCACUCUCCAACUGACUUCAGGGACAGCCCACUCUCCUGGUUUCCUCCUACCCUGACCACUCCUUCUCAGACUCCUUCCCAGGUUCCUUCUGUCAACUUUAAUCCUGCAUGCUGGUGUUCCCAAGGUGCCAUAUCUCCACUCUUUCAUGGCGAUCUCAUCUGGUCCUAUGGCUUUAAAUCCUGUCUAGAGUAUCCUGCAGUAGUAUCUUAGAAAGUCUCCAUUGUCUUUGAAUCUUGCCAACCUGAGUAUUUUCAUUUGUUUAAAAGAAAAUCUCUGUCAACUUGAUAGGGAAAAAAAGGUGAUCUUGUUGCCUUAAUUUGCAUUUAUUUAUUAGUGCAGUUGGGACUUUUUAUUAUAAUAGGUUUCUUUGUUUACUAGUCUUCCUUCCUGAAUUUAACUCUUGAUGUUCAUUGCUAGCUUUCUAUUUGGAUAUUUGUCUUUUCCUCUUCAAUUUCUAAGAUACCUAACGUUCUCCUCUUUUUCCACAAUGUAUAACAUAGCAGUUAACAAACAGUAGGCACAAAAUAAAUUUUUGCUGAAUAAAGGAAUAAGUCUUUUUAUACUUAAGAUAAUAGGCCACGUAGAGCAAAUAUGUGGUCUCAGUUUGUCCUUUUCCCUUUAAUGCCUGGCAUAUUGACACACAAACAUUUUCCUUUUACGUAAUCACAUCUUUUGCUUGAUGGUGCCUGUCUUUGGCCUCAAUGUUCACAAGUCUCAAAAUGAUAAUUAUUCUUUAAACCUGUAAUCUUCUGAAAUGUCUACAUUUUUAAUAAAAAUAUUUAAUUUGAAUACAGUUUAGUUUAUAUGCUAUGAAAUUUAAAAUCUAACUUUUUCUUUUAAUGCCUAACUAGUUGGCCCAACACAUUUGUUAAGCAUUCCAUCUUUUCUGCGUUGACCUGACCUGGCUUCCCUCACCUACUAAUACCUAAGUAUUUAUACCCUUAAUGUGUGCAAAGUGUUUGUUUUUUAAAUGUUCUCUUCUGUUGCAUGACAUUUCUAUAUGUUCCUACAAAGCCCCAUAUUCUUUUAAUUAUUGAAACUUAAAAUAGGUUUUAAUGUCU